rnacentral:lncRNA from 1 species
UCCCUUGUGUCCAGUUUCUUAUCAGAGUUUCAUCGGGGUCAUUGGUUAUUUGUGCUAUGAAGACUAAUAGAACUGAUUCGUCAGUAAAGUUUGUCCUUGAAGCAGAUAUAUUGAUGCAGUAGAUUAGUAAAAGGAGGCCUGUCAUCGCGGCCCUUGCCAUCAUUAUUUUUUUAAGAACCAAAGUAUUUGAUAGGGGUAUGAAGGAAAUUAAAAUGCAAAAGCAGAAAAGAAGUUCUUAAUAUGCAUUUCCUCCUUUCAAGUAUCCAACUUUAUAUAAUGGGCUCGCUUGGAUACAAUCGCCUCUUGUGUAAUCCAGUUAAACAUCUUGACUUUGAAUGUUAAAGGGAUAAAACUCAAAUAUGCCAUUGAACUUAACAAAAUGGCCUAUCUAUGCCACUCGUUAUAGUUGGACAUAAACAUGCCACCGACGUUACCAUUUUGUCCAUAUAUUCCAUUACCUGAUACCAUCAGAUUUUGCUAUGUGGCAUUAUCUAAACCCUUCAUUACUUACCACCGCCACCCCUCUCACAUGGUCACCCCCUUUUACGAGUGACAUAUGUUAUCCAUUUCGUUAACUGCAGUGGCAUAUUUGAGCCUUCUCCCAAGGUCCCAUCACAUCCCAACCACUAUAACACCGCAUAUUUCAACAUCGGCCACCCCCUUUUACGAGUGACAUAUGUUAUCCAUUUCGUUAACUGCAGUGGCAUAUUUGAGCCUUCUCCCAAGGUCCCAUCACAUCCCAACCAGUAUAACACCACAAAUUUCAACAUGAAAAGACAUACAUACUCUUCAUUCACACGCUCAUAUGUACUUCCACAACCAGCUACACCUCAUUAGUGUAGUCUCUUUUAAACCUGUCUUAUUAAAAAAACAUCUUUUUCUGUCCUUUUCCCAAGCCACCGCAACACCCAACUACUGUAACACCUCAAAUUCUACCAUGAAAACACAUACAUACUCUUAAUUCACACACUCGUAUGUACUUUCCAUAUCCAGAUAUACCUCAUUAGUGUACUCUCUUUUAAGCUUGUCUUUUUUUCUUUUUCUUUAUUCUGAAACAAAUUUUAUGUCCUUUUCCCAAGCCACCACCAUAUCCCAACCACUAUAACACCCCAAAUUCCACCAUGAAAAUUCAUAUAUACUCAUAAUUCACACACACAAAUGUACUUACAUACCAGCUACAUCUCAUUAGUGGACUCAUUUUUAAGCCCGUCCUUGUUUUUAUUUCUUACACAAAUUUGUGUUUUUCUUAAAUCUUUUUAAGAGCCGUAAAGUACGUGAAAUUUGUGAAUGAUGUAGAAUAGGAUAAGAUUCAUAAUCCAAUUAAAUAAGAGAGUAUAGUUUUUCCAUAUAAAAUAAUUGUGUUA